rnacentral:rRNA from 1 species
UACGUAGGGUGCAAGCGUUAAUCGGAAUUACUGGGCGUAAAGCGUGCGCAGGCGGUUUGGUAAGACAGAUGUGAAAUCCCCGGGCUCAACCUGGGAAUGGCAUUUGUGACUGCCCGGCUAGAGUGUGUCAGAGGGGGGUAGAAUUCCACGUGUAGCAGUGAAAUGCGUAGAUAUGUGGAGGAAUACCGAUGGCGAAGGCAGCCCCCUGGGAUAACACUGACGCUCAUGCACGAAAGCGUGGGGAGCAAACAGG